GCCUUUGACAUCCCGCGCUACUUCCAGAGAUGGAAGGUUCCCUUCGGGGACGCGGUGACAGGUGCUGCAUGGCUGUCGUCAGCUCGUGUCGUGAGAUGUUGGGUUAAGUCCCGCAACGAGCGCAACCCUCGUCCUUAGUUGCCAUCAUUUAGUUGGGCACUCUAAGGAAACCGCCGGUGAUAAGCCGGAGGAAGGUGGGGAUGACGUCAAGUCCUCAUGGCCCUUACAGGCUGGGCUACACACGUGCUACAAUGGCGGUGACAGUGGGCAGCCACUACGCGAGUAGGAGCUAAUCCCAAAAAGCCGUCUCAGUUCGGAUUGUUCUCUGCAACUCGAGAGCAUGAAGGCGGAAUCGCUAGUAAUCGCGGAUCAGCAUGCCGCGGUGAAUACGUUCCCG
rnacentral:rRNA from 1 species